GGGGGACGCGGGGGGGGGGCCUAACACAUGCAGGUCGGACGGCAGCACAGUAAGAGCUUGCUCUUACGGGUGGCGAGUGGCGGACGGGUGAGGAAUACAUCGGAAUCUACUUUUUCGUGGGGGAUAACGUAGGGAAACUUACGCUAAUACCGCAUACGACCUACGGGUGAAAGCAGGGGAUCUUCGGACCUUGCGCGAUUGAAUGAGCCGAUGUCGGAUUAGCUAGUUGGCGGGGUAAAGGCCCACCAAGGCGACGAUCCGUAGCUGGUCUGAGAGGAUGAUCAGCCACACUGGAACUGAGACACGGUCCAGACUCCUACGGGAGGCAGCAGUGGGGAAUAUUGGACAAAGGGCGCAAGCCUGAUCCAGCCAUACCGCGUGGGUGAAGAAGGCCUUCGGGUUGUAAAGCCCUUUUGUUGGGAAAGAAAAGCAGCAGGUUAAUACCCCGCUGUUCUGACGGUACCCAAAGAAUAAGCACCGGCUAACUUCGUG
rnacentral:rRNA from 1 species